UUCCCUAACCCUUCUUCCUUCUAGUCUCCAGCCUCCACAACGCGAAGCAGCAGCCCAGAGUCCAGACUCUAGCCCCAAUUCGUCUCAACCUCAUCGAAGCCGCCGGCGCAUGUCCGUCCAGCCACCGCCGCCGUCCCAACUUUGAGCUUCGAAGGCAACGGCGCAACAUCCGUCCAGCCACCGCCGUUUGAGCUUCGAAAAUCGAAGCCACCGUCGCCGGUCUCGCCUCUUGCCUCCGUCACGCAGCCACUUCCCGCCGGUGCCAGCACUGUUCCACACCACCACGUCGGCCACUGUCUUCCCAGCCACUGUCCCCAGCCACUUCCAUACGACCCUCGCCAGCUCUGCCCUGUUCCUGCCUUCCAGGAUCCAGCUUCUAGCCUAGCUGUCAUUGGAGCCAUUCACACAACCACUUUGGCCAGGCUCUCUGCUAAAAGGCAAGAAGUUCUUUCUCCAGCAGGCAACAUUGUUGAACAGGUCAAAUAAUACACCAAAACUAUUGUUCAAAUCAGAGUGGUGUUGGGCUGUUGGCAUUUGUUGGGGAGAAUAGAGCACUGUAAGGUUACUCAUAUGCACUGAGGAUUGCUCAGCAGCGGCUCCGAAAAGAGCAUGGUUGUGUCCCUCAUAGAGAGAUUCUAUCAAGCAAACUUAAAUGUUACAAUUUUUUUCUCAAUUUGAGUGAUGGCUUAAGUAAAGUUGCAUUCUUGUUUAGUAUGUAGUUUAUUUGCUACUGCAGCUUCUGCAAAUGGAGAUAUUGGGGUUGAAUUACCUGGUGAUCAGGCAGAGAUUAUAUUCAUGGGGACUGGAACUAGUGAAGGGAUACCUAGAGUUAGCUGCUUGACUAAUCCUCUGAAAAAAUGUUUGGUGCAAUGAAGAAAAAAAACAAUCUUUAUGGAAAAACUAAUUAAGAUUUUACUACAAUGGAAGUGAAUGUUCAGGGUUUUGUUAAGAUUUCUAUAUUUCAUGAUUGUUGUAGGUUUGUUCAAACUUCAAAGGCUGCUCAGCCGGGCAAUAAGAAUAGGAGACUUAAACAUAUAAAGACUACUCAGCUGGGCAAAUUGGUAGAAUGCUUUUUAACAUAUAAAGACUUGCUGGAAUAGGUACUGAAUUACAGUAAGCAGACAAUAGAUGAUUUAGUUAAAUUGUUUGGGAUAUUUUGAUGCAGUAAUGAAUCAUAUUAAAACUUUAGACCUAUGCAGCUAGUAAUUAGAAUAAGUGAGGUAACGGUUGAGAACUUAGGUUGGGAAUAUAAGGUACUCCCAAUGGCCUUUAGGGACAUGUAAUUACAACUUUAAUAUUUAUAUUAGACUAUAAUUAUGUUUUAAUGUGUUUAUUUAUAUUUUAUUUAUUAUUUUAUUAGAAAACGGUUUUUUCGGUUCAACCACGGUCGAACCGGUUGAACCUAUGAACUAGUGAACCAGUAACUAGAACGGUUCGAUGACCGGUUCGGUUUUCAGAACCUUGGUUAUUUGUAUUGAUUUAAAUAUUUGGUAUUAUUAGACAAUAUUAGUAUUGA